UCUCUCAAACACUGACAUAAGAGCUUAUGCUAUUUAAAAAACUCAAAUAAACUCUUUCAAACGGUGCAUAAAUACUUAAGGAGUCUAGUUAUUUAGCAAUUAUGCUUAAACCAUGUUGGUAUCAACAUCUUUGGUUUGUGCAUUCAUUUGUACAACUUUCCGACCACCCAAUAUCAAUUUAGCACUCAUUUAAGUAAUAAUAAACAUUUAUCGUUUACACAUAUUUUUCCUGCGUGUGUUUUUUUUUUUUUGGUCAAUAAUCAAAUUCAUUGAUUUAAACGGGCCAAGGCCCAAGCAAAUACAACAAAGAAACUGGACCAUACAAGGCCAUAA
rnacentral:lncRNA from 1 species